rnacentral:lncRNA from 1 species
UAAUCUCUUCCUUCAUCUUAUUAGUCUCUUCCUUACAGCAAUUCAGUCAUACCAAUAACUGCUAUUUCCACCAAUAUAUUCACCCUCACAAUCUCCAACUGUAAUACUGCGCCCUCACAGCUUUCAAUUUACAAUUACCCUCAUUCCAAUCACUGGAAUCCUUCACACAAAACUGCCAUUCACAUUACUGUGUUUCACACAAACACAGACUCAUUCUCUUUGUUGAACUACAAUCAGAUUUUAGUAUUCAAUCUUUCUUCUUCUCAAAUAAUACCAAUCACAUUUCUAUUCCAUAAUUCACUUCAUAAUAUUCAUAAAUUCUCAAUCUUCUUAUUCAAAGAAAAUAACAAACAAAAGAAAAGAAGUAGCACCAAGCUUAUCUCGGCUCACAACUAUCACAGCGAUGGCAUUUUCUUCCCCUCUCCCAUCUUCUUUAUACUACCCCGAGAUACCAACUCCUAUAUUAUAGAUGAUAACUAUUUUUCCUGACUAUUCAUCCAUUCUACCUGCUGAACCACCUUUUCAAUAGUUAUCUACCCCUGUUUACACUAUACACUAGGUAUCUAUAUUCUAAAAAUAACUACUUAUUCUACAUAGCCUCACUCCUAACUAUGCAGCAUCCUCGCAAAUACUCAAUUGAUUCCUAUCUAAAAACUACGUAACAAAUCUCCACAAAGUUACUAGUUCCUGUAGCCUACCUAAUUAAUUAUUUGCUAUAUUAUCUAUUAUUAGUUCCACCAAUUUCGGUUCCAACUAUAAAUCUUCUUCUUCCUCCUCUAAUCCAUCCAUCGACUCCUUCCUGAACUGGUUUAAUAGAUCUUCAUUAUACUCACCCAAUACAUAGACUUGAACAUCCAGUUUCAAGAUCUGGACAUCCCGAAGUUCUAAUUGUUACUAUUGACUCAUCUAUUCUCAAAUAUCUUCAAUCGAUACUUGUGACC